AGUCGAGGGGUAUAGUUCUUCGGAGCUAGAGACCGGCGCACGGGUGCGUAACGCGUAUGCAAUCUGCCUUUCACAGAGGGAUAGCCCAGAGAAAUUUGGAUUAAUACCUCAUAGUAUUAUGGAAGGGCAUCCUUUUAUAAUUAAAGUCACAACGGUGAAAGAUGAGCAUGCGUCCCAUUAGCUAGUUGGUAAGGUAACGGCUUACCAAGGCAACGAUGGGUAGGGGUCCUGAGAGGGAGAUCCCCCACACUGGUACUGAGACACGGACCAGACUCCUACGGGAGGCAGCAGUGAGGAAUAUUGGUCAAUGGGCGCAAGCCUGAACCAGCCAUGCCGCGUGCAGGAUGACGGUCCUAUGGAUUGUAAACUGCUUUUGUACGAGAAGAAACACUGAUUCGUGAAUCAGCUUGACGGUAUCGUAAGAAUAAGGAUCGGCUAACUCCGUGC
rnacentral:rRNA from 1 species